UGGACUGGUGAUGAAGACUGGUGCUGUGGGUAUCAUGGGCCAUGAAAAUAUGUCUGAAACUUUGAGGUCCAA
ensembl:snoRNA